GCGCAGCAGUCGCGAAACUUCGCAAUGCGCGAAAGCGCGACGAGGGAUUCCAAGUGCAUGCACUAAGUGUAUGCUUUCGUGAGUUUAAACGCUCACGGAAUAAGGGCUGGGUAAGACUGGUGCCAGCCGCCGCGGUAAUACCAGCGGCCCUAGUGGUGAUCGUUAUUAUUGGGCCUAAAGCGUCCGUAGCCGGUCCGGUAAAUCUCUGGGUAAAUCGUUGGGCUUAACUCAGCGAAUUCUGGGGAGACUGCUGGACUUGGGACCGGGAGAGGUCGGAGGUACUCCAGGGGUAGGGUGAAAAUCCUGUAAUCCUUGGGGGACCACCGGUGGCGAAGGCGUCCGACCAGAACGGGUCCGACGGUAAGGGACGAAGCCCUGGGGCGCGAACCGGAUUAGAUACCCCGGUAGU
rnacentral:rRNA from 1 species